CCGCCUCGUGGGCUGUGGGGCAGACGACCGGGAAGCCCCGAGAUCUCCAGAUCCUCGAUCGGGACCGAAAAGGCCCUGAACUUGUGCAGUGACUUGCCAUUGAGUCCGGGAGGUUCUGGAGACCUGGGUGACGGAAGAACGCCCAAGGCCGACUGCUGCCCUCAGUUAUCGGGGCUCCACAUGGACCAAACCCAGCUGGCAGUCAGAGGGCAAGAGCAUCUCGAUGCAGCGCAUACAGGCCAAUUCCAGGGUGCAGUGCAGCAUGGAAAAGGAGAAAUGUACCUGAAGAGGCAAAUGAAA
rnacentral:lncRNA from 10 species